GUGCAGCAGUCGCGAAAACUCCGCAAUACGCGAAAGCGUGACGGGGCCAUCCCGAGUGCCGUCCGCUGAGGAUGGCUUUUCCCCUGUGUAAAUAGCUGGGGGAAUAAGGAGAGGGCAAGUCUGGUGUCAGCCGCCGCGGUAAUACCAGCUCUUCGAGUGGUAGGGAUGUUUAUUGGGCCUGAAGCAUCCGUAGCUGGCUGAACAAGUCCUCCGUUAAAUCCAGCGAUUUAAUCGUUGGAUUGCGGGGGAUACUGCUGAGCGAGGAGGUGGGAGAGGCCGACGGUAUUCUCGGAGUAGGGGUGAAAUCUUAUAAUCCCGGGAGGACCACCAGUGGCGAAGGCUGUUGGCUAGAACACGCUCGACAGUGAGGGAUGAAAGCUGGGUGAGCGAACCGGAUUAGAUACCCGGGUAGUCC
rnacentral:rRNA from 1 species